GGGGUUGUGGCUCAGUGGUAGAGCGCUUGCCUCGAAAGUGAGAGACUCUGGGUUCGAUCCUCAGCAGCACAA
rfam:Ictidomys tridecemlineatus contig034779, whole genome shotgun sequence.